AGGAGCACCGAGUACCCGGGAUCUAACAAUGGAAUGAACAGUCCGGAGGCUCCUGGGUUCACCAUUUCCCAUUUCUUCUGAGUUUUCUGAGUUUCCAGAGGACAGAGGAGUACUGCUUUCUGUCUUCUCCCCAGUACAAGGAAGAUUAGCUGUCAAGUCAAGACAGGGCUGGACCCCAAACCAUAGCUUAGGGACUUUGGAAGGCUUGGCAAGGCCAAGCUGCCAGACGACCCAAGGGGGAAGGAAGGUUGCGAGUGUGUUGGAGAGUUGGGGGGAGGGGAAGGAAAAGGGGGGAAACGAUCGUCACCUUGGCAACUCUGGUCCCUGGGGAACGGGCUGGGCAGGGGCUAGAGCUAGUCUGACGGCCCCGAUGGCAGCGGUCGGGGGAGGGGAGCCUCCUCUCCCUCCUCGCACCCCUUCCCCCCACGUGGCUCCCCAGCAGGGAGCCCUGCGCGGGUCCCCCAGGGGAAAGUUGCAGGGGCGGGGACAAAGCCCCGGCUCGGGGAGCCAACAUCCCCCAACGCCGCCCUCCCGCAUCCCCGCCCAGGUACCUGGGUGCCGUCCCCGCCGCCGCCGCCGCCGCGUCCUCCUCCUCCUUCCAAUGCUGGGGGUGCUGUUGCAGGCAGGCGUUGUUACCUACCAGCCGUGGCAGUGGCCGCAGCAGCAGCAGCAGCAGUAACAGCAACAGCAACACCAGCAGCAGCAGCAGCGGCAGCAGCAGCCUGCGCCCCAGAUCCGUUAGCUCCGCCGGCCCCCUCCGCUCGCCGCCGCCGCCGCCGCCAAUGUGAAAUGAAGCCACUAUGGCCAAGCGGUCUGCAGUGCACCGAGCCACGUCGUUGGUACCUGCAUCCCGAAGGAGGUUGGAGAGCAGUGAAGUUGAAACGCAAACUUGGCCGGGGGUGGGGGCCCCCGCUCAGCAAUGAAGUACACCAGCUGUUGUGCAGCUGCCUCCUGGCCCGGGGUAGCGAAGCCAGCGUGCGCUUAAAGACCGUACAAUUCCAUUUCAGAAAGGGUCUCCAUCCCACCCCACCCGGGCUUCCUGGGCUCGGGAUCGUCCCCCUCCCCCCCAAUCCCGGCCUACAGCCUCACUACACCCAGGCAGGGGGUGGGAGGUGGGGUGGGGGGAACUAAUCCGAUCUAACCCACAAAGACCAAGGAAUCUGGAGCUGGGGUUGGCCAGGUGCCCAGAGUUCUGAAAGCUGGAUUGGACAGAGGAGUGAAUGAGGCUCGGGCCCAAGGCUGGGGGCCCCACUGCAACGGAAGGAGAGAAGUGUCUCCAAGGGAUCUGGUACCAAAUGAAGAAAUCAGAGAACAGACUUGGAGGUCGAGUUAAACCUAUGUUGUUCUUGUACCAGCCUGAGGUUCUUUGUGCCUCAAUUUCCCUUAAAAAAAAAAGACUAAUAAUUUCCACCCUUGCCCUCGUGGAUUUGUCAUGCCUCAAACACUUCGGAAGAAUAGUGCUCCAUGAAGCAAUUUAGGGGAUUGUUGUUAUUCUAGCAUGGGAGUCUCCCCAACUACCCCUUCUUUGACAUAGUCAAUCCCUCCAGCCCCUGAGAGCAGGGUCCUUUUCUCCUCUUUCCUUGAGAAACUUUCUGCACCUAAUAUAUGUCUCUGCCUACAAUAGGCAUUUCUGCUGUAGAUUUUGAGCUGGAAGAGACCUUAGAAGCCAUCGACUCAUUUUGCAAUAAGCAGACUAAGGCUUAAAUGACUUGCCCAGGGUCACACAGCUAAUAAAUGGGUGAAGUGAAAUUUGAACUCA
rnacentral:lncRNA from 1 species